GCCGGAGUAGCUCAGUGGUAGAGCAACUGAUUCGUAAUCAGUAGGUCGUGGGUUCAAUCCCCAUCUCCGGCU
rnacentral:tRNA from 1 species